UACAAGUUUGACACAUACAAACAAAAAAAAGAAAAAAAAAACCUAUAUAGUCUAUAUCGCAACCGCUAAUGCCCUAACCUGCCCCCAGUCCCACAACCCCGACCGUGGAUCUCCCUCCUCGGUCUCCUACGGUAGACUCUCUGAAUAUCUGGCACUCUCUCCCCUGCGUGCGGCCCUCCACUGACUGCCUGUGAAGCCUGUGAGUGUGAGUGUGACCCCCCCUCUCCUGCAUCUGAUGCCCAUGAUCCUGCCUGUGCCUGUAGAUCAGAUACUGCUGUGAGCUGUGAAACUCCCACUCCCUCGUCUGGUGCAACUGUAUCACGAUCUGUAGUUGGACCCCGACCUUUGCCUCUGCCCGCACCCCGACCUCGGCCGCGACGUCCCCCACGACCAUAACCUCUCCCUCGCGCUCUGGGGGAGGGCUCAAUAUGGGCCUCAUCAUCAAUGUGUGAGAUGUCAGUGAGAAUUGCAUCAUGUGUACUCCUGGGCGCGGUCGAAGUAGUCCCCAUAAAAGCAGGUGGUAACUGGGUGGAUGGGGUAGCAACAUCAUGCAUGAACCGGGGCGCGGUCGAAGUACUCCCUAGAAAAGUAGGAUGUAACUGGGUGGGUGGGGUAAUAACAUCAUGCAUGAAGCGGGGCGGUGACCAAUCAGGGUCAGGGUCAGCAUGCUGGGUAAGAUGUACGUGUGGGGAAUAUGGAGAAAUGUAUGGGGUAUCAUGUGGUGGGGUGACUGAAGUCGAAGGACCUGCUGUGGCUGGCGCUGAACUGGGAGGCACUGACGUGGACGGGACUGAUGUAUCUGGAGCAGCUGCUGCACUGUGUACACCGUAGUCCCCAAAAUGCAGACGAUCUACCCGAUGGGCAUGCUGGAUCCCCUCGUACAAUAACUCUCUGAUCUCUACAAGGGCCUGCAGACCAAGCUGUCCAUCACGUCUG